UUGGUGUGUUCAGAGCAGGCUGCGGAGAGAGUGCCCGGGCUGUUUACAUCACACCAUAGAGCACUGUGCAGCUGUGUCAAUGUCGAUCGCUCUAAUGAACGCUUGGAUGACAAACUGCAAACACUU